rnacentral:rRNA from 1 species
GACGUAGGGUGCGAGCGUUGUCCGGAUUUAUUGGGCGUAAAGAGCUCGUAGGCGGCUCGUCGCGUCAGCUGUGAAAACCCGCGGCUUAACCGUGGGCUUGCAGCUGAUACGGGCGGGCUAGAGUUCGGUAGGGGAGACUGGAAUUCCUGGUGUAGCGGUGAAAUGCGCAGAUAUCAGGAGGAACACCGGUGGCGAAGGCGGGUCUCUGGGCCGAUACUGACGCUGAGGAGCGAAAGCCAGGGGAGCAAACGGG